rnacentral:rRNA from 1 species
AUUGAACGCUGGCGGCAGGCCUAACACAUGCAAGUCGAGCGGAUGGAGGGAGCUUGCUCCUGGAUUCAGCGGCGGACGGGUGAGUAAUGCCUAGGAAUCUGCCUGGUAGUGGGGGAUAACGUCCGGAAACGGGCGCUAAUACCGCAUACGUCCUGAGGGAGAAAGUGGGGGAUCUUCGGACCUCACGCUAUCAGAUGAGCCUAGGUCGGAUUAGCUAGUUGGUGGGGUAAAGGCCUACCAAGGCGACGAUCCGUAACUGGUCUGAGAGGAUGAUCAGUCACACUGGAACUGUGACACGGUCCAGACUCCUACGGGAGGCAGCAGUGGGGAAUAUUGGACAAUGGGCGAAAGCCUGAUCCAGCCAUGCCGCGUGUGUGAAGAAGGUCUUCGGAUUGUAAAGCACUUUAAGUUGGGAGGAAGGGCAGUAAGUUAAUACCUUGCUGUUUUGACGUUACCAACAGAAUAAGCACCGGCUAACUUCGUG